ensembl:lncRNA
CUACACCACUGCACUGCAGCGCUCCAGGCUCGUCACACAGUCCCCCGACUCCCAGCAGGCCCUUGCUGCCUCGACCGAGACACACACGCAACACACACACUCACAGGAAGGAGGAGAGGAAAACGAGGAGGAGGAAGAGGAAGAGGAGGAGGAUGAGCAGGUGUCUGCUGUGUGAGUGAGUGAGUGAGUGUGUGUGUGUGUGUCAGGGCUGUUCUGACACGUAGCCCGCGGGCUUCAGCAGACAGACACACCGACAGACGCCCACCGGUGCUGCCUGCCUGCCUGCCUGCCUGCUCGCCCGACGCCUGAUUGGUGGAUUCAUCUCUCUUCUCUGCCUUAAAGCAUCAUGGGAGACCAGUCACCCCAGCAUGCAACGUACUGUGAAGGAGCAGCAGGAGCAGGAGUUACUUAGAGAAGAGACAGGAAACUCGAAACACAAUGCCUGGCACUUUGGAAUAUAUGACUUAAAAGACUUAAGAAACAGUUUCACUUAGACAUAAACACAUGCACACAAACACACACACACACACACACACACACACACACACACACACACACACACACAGAGAGCGCGGUGCGACAUUCAUGUUUGAAUAAUAAAAUUGAAGAAAACUGCGAACUUCUGUUGCCUGGACAACAGCAUUCCUGAGGCCACUCCCACUCCUGAGUUUUUGUCAUCUGCACUUUUUGAAAUCAAACAUCUGAAAACAAACAUCACUGAAAAUGCGAACAAAACACAAACACACCGAGACUCCAGCCCAUCCUCUUUGUGUGGUGGGAGGGGCAGUAGCUGCUGGACAGGGGAUGUGAGACCUCCCCACCCACAUUCUAUGGAUCCGACCCUUCAUCAUCAUCAUCAUCAUCACCAUCACCAUCAUCAUCAUCAUAAUCGUGGUCAGCACCACCACCAGCCACACCCCCUCUGCUAGUGUGUUGCUCAUCUGUUGAGAGAGUGCAGUGUUACAGGCAGGGACUGGGCCUCGACCCUCUCCAGGCCCUGGCUAGGGCUCUAUGGGGCUGUCCCUGAAGCAGCAGCCCAUGGUGGGGUAGGGGUUGGAGCUGAGCCUCCCUCCUCCAGGAGCAGUAUGGGCCAGGGGUUCAGGGGGCAGUAAGAGGGAAUUUGGGCCGUCAGAAUGUCGCCCUCUCCAACCACCGACCUGCAUCAUUUCUAAGGUAACGGCCAGUCUGUGGAACAGCUGGUCGUUAUGGUAAUAUUCAACAUCAGUUUGGAUCUUACAGGAGAAAACCAAUGAAACAUGGCCACUUUUGAUACCUGACUACACUUAUCAUUGAAGCUCAGUGGUUCAGUGUCCCUGAUAAUGCACUUACUCUGGGUUUAGGGUUGA